AAAUAGCCCUGUAACUUCAAGAGAAGGGGUGCCUCCUCACAAAAGGGGUCGUAGUGACUAGGCCUGGGAGACUUGUAUUUUUGGUAAA